rnacentral:rRNA from 1 species
AGUCGACGGUAACAGGUCUUCGGAUGCUGACGAGUGGCGAACGGGUGAUUUUACAUCGGAACGUGCCCGAUCGUGGGGGAUAACGAAGCGAAAGCUUUGCUAAUACCGCAUAAGAUCUAAGGAUGAAAGCAGGGGACCGCAAGGCCUUGCGCGAACGGAGCAGCCGAUGGCAGAUUAGGUAGUUGGUGGGAUAAAAGCUUACCAAGCCGACGAUCUGUAGCUGGUCUGAGAGGACGACCAGCCACACUGGGACUGAGACACGGCCCAGACUCCUACGGGAGGCAGCAGUGGGGAAUUUUGGACAAUGGGCGAAAGCCUGAUCCAGCCAUGCCGCGUGCAGGAUGAAGGCCUUCGGGUUGUAAACUGCUUUUGUACGGAACGAAAAGACUCUGGUUAAUACCUGGGGUCCAUGACGGUACCGUAAGAAUAAGCACCGGCUAACUACGUGCCAGCAGCCGCGGUAAUACGUAGGGUGCAAGCGUUAAUCGGAAUUACUGGGCGUAAAGCGUGCGCAGGCGGUUAUAUAAGACAGAUGUGAAAUCCCCGGGCUCAACCUGGGAACUGCAUUUGUGACUGUAUAGCUAGAGUACGGUAGAGGGGGAUGGAAUUCCGCGUGUAGCAGUGAAAUGCGUAGAUAUGCGG